rnacentral:rRNA from 1 species
AGAGUUUGAUCCUGGUCAGAACAAACGCUGGCGGCGUGCCUAACACAUGCAAGUCGUACGAGAAAGUCCGCUUCGGUGGAUGAGUAAAGUGGUGCACGGGUGAGUAACGCGUGGAUAAUCUACCCUUUAGUCUGGAAUAGCUUAUCGAAAGGUGAACUAAUACCGGAUCAUAUCCCGAUUUCUUCGGCGAUCGGGAUCAAAGAAGGCCUCUGCUUGCAAGCUUUCACUGAAGGAUGAGUCCGCGUACCAUUAGCUAGUUGGCAGGGUAAUGGCCUACCAAGGUUAUGAUGGUUAGCUGGUCUGAGAGGAUGAUCAGCCACACUGGAACUGAAACACGGUCCAGACUCCUACGGGAGGCAGCAGUGAGGAAUAUUGCGCAAUGGGGGCAACCCUGACGCAGCAACGCCGCGUGAGUGAGGAAGGUUUUCGGAUUGUAAAGCUCUGUCGAGCGGAAAGAAGUGCAUGGUGGUUAAUAUCCAUCAUGCUUGACGGUACCGCUAAAGGAAGCACCGACUAACUCC